UACGGAGGGAGCUAGCGUUAUUCGGAAUUACUGGGCGUAAAGCGCACGUAGGCGGCUUUGUAAGUAAGAGGUGAAAGCCUGGAGCUCAACUCCAGAACUGCCUUUUAGACUGCAUCGCUUGAAUCCAGGAGAGGUGAGUGGAAUUCCGAGUGUAGAGGUGAAAUUCGUAGAUAUUCGCAAGAACACCAGUGGCGAAGGCGGCUCACUGGCCCGAUACUGACGCUGAGGCACGAAAGCGUGGGGAGCAAACAGGG
rnacentral:rRNA from 1 species